AGAGGGGAGGAGUCUGUGACCCGAUUCUUAUGGAUUCCCCUGCACAUACACAUAUGGGCUUACGGAGCUAUGCCACGUAUGCACAUAGAUUGCAUGAUCACACUGCGCACAAAUUACUUGAUCACACAGUGCACGGAAUAUGUAGGACAUAAG